rnacentral:rRNA from 1 species
UAGGGAAUCUUCGGCAAUGGACGAAAGUCUGACCGAGCAACGCCGCGUGAGUGAAGAAGGUUUUCGGAUCGUAAAACUCUGUUGUUAGAGAAGAACAAGGACGUUAGUAACUGAACGUCCCCUGACGGUAUCUAACCAGAAAGCCACGGCUAACUACGUGCCAGCAGCCGCGGUAAUACGUAGGUGGCAAGCGUUGUCCGGAUUUAUUGGGCGUAAAGCGAGCGCAGGCGGUUUCUUAAGUCUGAUGUGAAAGCCCCCGGCUCAACCGGGGAGGGUCAUUGGAAACUGUGAGACUUGAGUGCAGAAGAGGAGAGUGGAAUUCCAUGUGUAGCGGUGAAAUGCGUAGAUAUAUGGAGGAACACCAGUGGCGAAGGCGGCUCUCUGGUCUGUAACUGACGCUGAGGCUCGAAAGCGUGGGGGGCAAACAGG